CCUUCGGGUUGUAAACCUCUUUCAGUAGGGAAGAAGCGAAAGUGACGGUACCUGCAGAAGAAGCACCGGCUAACUACGUGCCAGCAGCCGCGGUAAUACGUAGGGUGCGAGCGUUAUCCGGAAUUAUUGGGCGUAAAGAGCUCGUAGGCGGUUUGUCGCGUCUGUCGUGAAAGUCCGGGGCUUAACCCCGGAUCUGCGGUGGGUACGGGCAGACUAGAGUGCAGUAGGGGAGACUGGAAUUCCUGGUGUAGCGGUGGAAUGCGCAGAUAUCAGGAGGAACACCGAUGGCGAAGGCAGGUCUCUGGGCUGUAACUGACGCUGAGGAGCGAAAGCAUGGGGAGCGAACAGGAUUAGACACCCUGGUAGUCCAUGCCGUAAACGUUGGGCACUAGGUGUGGGGACCAUUCCACGGUUUCCGCGCCGCAGCUAACGCAUUAAGCGCCCCGCCUGGGGAGUACGGCCGCAAGGCUAAAACUCAAAUGAAUUGACGGA
rnacentral:rRNA from 1 species